rnacentral:lncRNA from 10 species
UUGCCAUAAAGUGUAGGAGAAACUUGGCCAGGGGAUGCUAUGGAAAAUAUUUUUCCCAGAUGAAAAGGAGUAUCUUCCCAGAGAGAAAGCUUCCUUCUGCACCUGUCUCCUACCUUUCUCCUUCAGAUGUUGCUGUUUGGAGCUGAGGCAGCCGUCCUGUGACCAUCUGUCAACAAAGGCUGGUUCCCUGGUUCCCUGGUCCCCUGGUUCCCUGGUGCCCUGGUUCCUGUUCCCACGGCUGCCGCAUCUAUUAUGCCCGCGCCCCUCCUGUUCCAUGAAGGUUCUGGAUGGAGGUCUCAUGAGGGAUUCGGGCAGAGGCUGAUGAAAACAUAAAACAGGCCAGUCUCCAGAUUCAAGGGAGAGCUGGAGACAGCAUUCAUAGCUUGACCAGGCAGCUUUGACCAGGUGUGACAAAGGAAGCCCAGAUGUCCCAGUCUAUUCAUGUUUCUAUCACAAAAUGCCUUUGAAUUAGUAAUUUAUAAACAAUAGAAAUUUAUUUCUUAUCGUUCUGGAGGCCGGAAAGUCCACGAUGAAGACACCAGCUGGUUCCCAGCCGGUGGGUGAGGACCCAGCCUCUGCUUCCAAGAUGGCACCUCUGGGCUGCAUCCUCACGUAGGGAGGGGGUGGGAGAAGAAAAGGGGCUGGGCAUGCCCUUCAGCCUCCAUUAUAAGGCACGGAUCCUGUUCACGAGGGAGGAGCCCGCAUCACUCAGCCUCCUCUCAGAAGGCCCCACCUGUUAACAUCACACGGGGCUUAGGUUUCACUGUACGUAUUUGAGAGGCACCUACAUUCAGACUAUAGCACAGGCCAGCCCCCCACUGCUUCCCAUACUGCCAGAGGCUGGGGCAGCUCCCCGGCCACCAUGUUCCGCCAGCAGGAUGGCUCCUGUCAGCCAGGUGUGCGGGACCUGGGCACACUGGCAAGAAGCAGGGAGGGCAGCCCAGACCCAGCCGCCCCAUGGCUGCUCCGGGAGACUGUGUCCCUGUUGGAGACUGUGAUAGAUCCACGAUCCGUCCCAGCCAUUGCUCCAUCUGUCUUGUCCAUCAACCCCUCUGCCAGUAUCAUAUGGUAAAUAGUACCAUGAAUACUACAGUUCCAGGCACCCAGGUCACAUCAGAGAACUGACGAGUUAGAGUUUAACGACACAGUUUGUAGCUGGGGGGGCUGCUUCAGAGCUGAUGACUGGGUGGCAUUGCUGCCUGGAGCUGGUGACUGGGUGGCAUUGCUGUCUGGAGCUGGUGACUGGGUGGCAUUGCUGUCUGGAGCUGAUGACUGGGUGGCAUUGCUGCCUGGAGCUGGUGACUGGGUGGCAUUGCUGCCUGGAGCUGGUGACUAGGGUGGCAUUGCUGCCUGGAGCUGGUGACUGGGUGGCAUUGCUGUCUGGAGCUGGUGACUGGGUGGCAUUGCUGCCUGGAGCUGGUGACUGGGUGGCAUUGCUGUCUGGAGCUGGUGACUGGGUGGCAUUGCUGUCUGGAGCUGGUGACUGGGUGGCAUUGCUGUCUGGAGCUGGUGACUGGGUGGCAUUGCUGCCUGGAGCUGGUGACUAGGGUGGCAUUGCUGCCUGGAGCUGGUGACUAGGGUGGCAUUGCUGCCUGGAGCUGGUGACUAGGGUGGCAUUGCUGCCUGGAGCUGGUGACUAGGGUGGCAUUGCUGUCUGGAGCUGGUGACUAGGGUGGCAUUGCUGUCUGGAGCUGGUGACUAGGGUGGCAUUGCUGUCUGCAGCUGGUGACUGGGCGGCAUUGCUGCUUGGUUGUUGUCAAGCCUCCCCAAGGUCUAAGGUCACCAGCAGGAAUGCCCCGGAAGGAGAGGGCAUAACUGUAGUUCUAGGAGUCUGAGGCCGUUUAACCUUUUCUCCAUCAUUUAGCAGCUUAGAAAUUCAUGUCAUUCCCCAUCUAGGCCUCAAUUUCUCUACCUGUAAAAUGGGAUGUUUGACCCGACUUCCCUUUACCUGUGAAAUCCUAGGACCUCAUCAUGUCACUUUCAUGCAGCAGAGGCAGCGACCACUGGAGAGGGACACUAAGGACUGCUCCUGGAUCUUGUUUAAACACAAGGAGCUGGGUUUCGAAGACUCCACGAGGGACUUUAGGACCCUACGUUACUUAUCGACAUAAAAAGAGGAGAAGAUAAAGCCUCACAAUUCUUCCUCCCACUUCCUCAGGUGGCCAAUGCUGCUUUUAUUGUGGAAUGGGUUUGCCACAAAGCCUCAGGCUGAUAGAUAAGACUCGGGUCUCUGAAAAAUGACAGCUUGACAUCAAACCAACAAAAUCAAUUUCCAAAUUGAUUAAAACCAUUCUCAAAUAAAACUCCGCUGGCUUUUUCGAAUCCCAUUGUAAAAGGUCAUCUGGGAAGUAAGCACCAUAUUUGUUUUAAGUUAGCAGAAGCCCGCAGCGCACUUGAGGCCCUACAGUUUCGGGGCCAGGCUGGGCUGACUGGGCCCACACACGCCUCCGCCCUCACCACAGCCGCCAGCUCCAGGGUGCCCACCAGAGCCAGGGCGGGAAGCCACCUCCAGGCUGGCCCUUCGUCUUGGCUCUUUGAAAACCUUUGGGUGAGGUGUGUCUCUUGGAUCAAAUAAACAAUCAACAAUUGGCUGCUGUCAUUAAGGGAGAGGGUUAGUGCUGAGGGAGACAUAUCCUGGGGGCAUUUUGUGUGAUUAUGGGGUGAUUUAUGAUUCAUAGAGAUCAAGCGAUAAACGUACUGAAAUGCCAAGAAAGAAAAUUGGAGAGAAAAAUUGCUACAAAUGUUAUUCUUAUUUUUUAAGGAGAUUUAUUUUAUUUGCAAGAUUUGUAAUUGAUGCAAAGCCUGUAAAUGCAGGUGCCCCACUGUCAAAUCCUCUCCCUUCCAGACCCUUCGUAAAGGCGUGACCUGCUUCAAGAAACACGAUAUUUGAAAAUAUGAAAUCUACACAUCGAGACACAUUAAGAGUGACUGUUCGCAUGACAAAAGGGUUUGCCACUUUACAAAAGAUUCAUCCCAGUGUUUCUUAAAGAACCAUACAACUGUGAUGUAUUUUAAAUGUCUUUCAAUUAAAAGAAUUGACUCAUGCUCA